ensembl:lncRNA
CUGCGGGAAGCCCACCCGCACCCGGGGCCCACGACCGCCGCUCGCGAGACCGCCCGCAUUGCCGGCGCAGCCAACUCCAGUCCCGCGAGGAUCCCCUCGAGCCCCCGGGACUGCUCGCCUGCUCGCCCCCAGCCGGGAACUCAGCAGAAUAAGCGAACACGGAGGGGCCGCACGCUCCGGAACGCGCGGUCAUCCGCACAGCCGCGCGGGGACCGCGCGCUUAAGGCAGAAAAAUCGCGGGGCUUCUCUGUCUCCGUCCCUUCGAGUAACGCGGGGCCCCACGCUAUCCCGAACGCGCGCACAGCGCCGAGCGGAGCGGUCCCGCACGGGGUCCGACUGAGGCCCGAAGCGGCGCUUCGCGCGGGGCUGCGGCGGCCGCGGAGCUCUCGUGGUGGCCGCAGCCCUGAGCCGCUUCUCUCCGCUCCGCCGCUUCGUUCGGGAAACAGGGAGCGGUGUUUGGCCGCUGCGAUCUCCAAAUUAAAACAAAACACCUCAAAACAAAAAGAUUUGUCUUGCAAAUAAAUGCCGAAUUAGAAACAAGCCGCGGGAGGUGGGGCUGCGGGGCUCGACUUGGUUUAAUUUCUGUGAUGGUUUUGCGCGUGGGUGUCUUAAUUGUAUUUUGUUUUUUUCGUUAAAAGCAUUUUGGAAACCGAAGGUAACACCUCAUCGAAUGGUUCUCGGGGCAGCGGGCGGGGAUGGGAGCACCCGGCGCGACGGAACCCAUCUUUAGGGCGAUAUUUAAUUUACAAAAACUAUUGCGGAGAGGAAAGAAGGGCUGCGAUUGUCCUCGUAGUCGUAGGAGACAGAUUGUGGGAAGCCCGAUGUGGUGGAGAAACGGAAUCCUUACACGAAAAUAAGGAGUAUCAGCAGAGAAACAAAAACGAAAGGAAAGCGCGAGCCCCGGGAGCUCGGGAGAUCUUUGUCCCGCGUGCGGAGAUCGGUGCGUCUCGCUAUCCGUGGAUCGGUUUCGAACAAGAAAAUAGAAGAGCGCGAUAUAUUAAAAUAUGGUUGUUGAUUUUUUUUCACAUGUAUAUCGUGUGCAAAUAUACGCAUUGUGUAUAUAAACACGGAGCAUCUACGCGUUUCAGUACUUUUGCAUUUAAGAGUACGAAAAAGCACAGCACAUCCGAAGCCUUAGGCACGAAGCAUUAUGUACGAAGGGCGUAAGGAGCCCUCCCGGCCACAGCGCGGGCCGCUCCGCCACCCUCAGCCCCGGGCGGGGCCGCCGGGGGGACGCGGGG